UUGUCAUCGGAUGUUUGCGCCAGGGAACUUUUUUGGUUUUCAAAUGUGACCACAUAACUUCCUAGCUUUCUGACGGCAGACAACCAAGGAAGAGAAAAGAGAUUCUUGCACAAGGAAUAAAGAGAGAGCGACUAGAGAGAUUUGGGGUUUUCCGGCGAUGUUCACGGCAAUACUGUCGGCCGUCUACUACGGCGUAACCAACAGUCAUGAAGAUUCUGUGGUUGUAGGUGUAGAUCGGAGGACCUAAGAGGUGAUGUUGAUGUUUAGUUCGAGAAACCCUAAGCCACAAGAACCCCUCAUCUCUAAUCGGAAUGAACAGAAAAUGAUCGGCGAGACUAGGUGUUUUUGUGGCAAGGUCGCGUUCUUGAUGAUCUAAUGGUUGUCGAGCAGCGGAGACGAAGGAAACAACCACGCUGACGACAACGAUGGUUAUCUGGGGUUCCAAAUGUUGGUCGAUGGCGGCGGUUGUUCCCACGAAGACCUAGCCGCCGACUCCGGAGAUGGCGUCUAGGAUUCCGAUUGGAACUCCGAUUGAUGUCUGGCCUUUACGUGACCAGCCACAAGAAGAAUAUGGUUUGACUUAUGAUCAGUAAAACCAUCAAACCAACGAGUUCUUAGACCAUGAAACCAAUGAGGUUGAGGGUCAAGAUGAAAGUUCUGACGAAGAUCAAAUCGAGAACCAUGUGUGUCCUGCUUCUGUGACUGAACGUUUAUAUGAUAAUGGCCCUUAUGAGCACAAUGAAGGAAAUAAGAUUCACAUAUUUGAAGCAAAAAUCGCGGUUUGAGGUACAAACAGAUGUGAUAAGUAUUAGGUUAUGAUGGAGGUUUAAUCAAAUUAGAAUAUCUGGUAUCUGUUCUGAUCAUCACACUCACAUGUGUUGGAGGGCUAGGUUUUUUUGAAGGUUGAGAACUAUAGACUAUUUAACAGGAUGGGGUUUUUUUGAAGGUUGACUAUCGGCUAUUUAACGCCUCAGUUAAAUGUGAGUGUGUAAUGAACCAGUGAUAUUUUGGUUUCUUCCUUCUUAAAUGUGAAUUAGAAUUACCUAUGUUAGAUGAUAUGAACUGGAUGCUUUGUAUACAGCCUACAUUUUCUCCAAUGGUUGUUUUUCUUUACAAGUUUAUUGUAAACAGCAUACCUCAAAAUGUAAUACCCAUUUACCUUUAGUCUUCUAUCUGAGGUUGGUAGAACAGACAACUAAUUUUAUAUUUGGUUGUUGUGGUUUUAGACUUUUAUAACUUGAUCACUAUACUUUAGUUU
rnacentral:lncRNA from 1 species